GGAGGAGCAGCUGCUGAGCCUGGAGCUCCCGCCAGCCCCUGGGUGAAAGAGGCACAUUCUCUCCUUUCAUGUCUGAGAUGUCUCCAUCUUGAGCAUGGCACUCCAAGCUGAAGUCAUCAAUGGAAGGCAUGAUGUACUGGAUCUGCACAGGGGACUGCAGGCCAUCUUGUGACCUCAGGAUAUGCCAGGAACAAUCACAAGGACUGUGUUCUCCACGGACUAUGAUGAGCUCCUCAUUGCUGGAAUCCUGCUGCUCCCGUGAAAAGAUGGCCGUCAGUAUUCUCCAAAAAGGCUGCAAAUGAUGCUGAUGCGGAGGGAGUUGCCAGGAGCUUCACCCUCUACAAGUUUAAAAUACACUCCCUCCCAGAAUUGACUCUCGUGCUGACCCACCUAAAUGUACAUCCACUGGAUGUCUCUUGAGCCUGAAGAGUGUGCAGCACUGUCCAAUCUUUGCCAUACAAGGACAUACGAACUUACCUGGGGAGGUUUCUGGGACGGGCAUGAAUUCUGGUGUGGAGCUCCUGGAAUUGAGGGUGUUUUGCAAUCUUUGCCAUGCAAUGACAUAAUAACUUACCUGGGGAGGUUCCAGGGACUGGCCUGAAUUCAGUGUGGAGCUCCUGGAAUUGAGGGUGUUUUUGCACCUGCAGAGAGAUCACAGUGAGGGAGGUUAAGGCUCUUCCAGCAAGAGUCUCUUGGAUUUCAGAAUAUGACCUUCAGAAAUCCACAACCCAGCACAGGCCAGCCUCAGGACACCAGCCCCCAUCAAUCAAGCAUGACUUUCCACUCAUCCUGCAGAAAGCACCCUCUCCUUUUAUAAGAUUGUGAGACAUGACACUGACCUCCAGGCAGGGAGAUCUUAAGAAAUAUCAGGGAAAUUGCCUUACCUAUACUGGUACCCUGCUCCACUUGGUGACGUUUGGGUGGAUUCAUUUGCGUGGUAGCCAAGCUGCAGGACAGAAAGGGAUCCGUUAGUCUUCCACACAGAGUCUAAUUCUCACAAGCCCAAAACUCCAUUUAUCAUCCAGCACACAUUCUUUCUGUGUCCCUCAGUCAAGUGCACUUGUGUUGGGCUCCAAAUCCUACCUGCAUCCAGUAAGUCCUAAUGCUCAUCUCCCCUCCUCAACUUUUCUAAUGGCUUUUCCUAUCGGUGAAUGUGUGUGAUAAGGGAUGGUGACCACAGGAAACAGUUUGCUUUCUCAGGAGCUCAUCCAUCUGAGAAGGGACAUCUAAUUUGGUCUGAGGAUUUUCAGGGAAGACGUUGUUAUUUCAGGUAUCUGAGCACCGUGUCUGUGCAGUUACAGUGUGAAUGGAGUGAGAGAUGAUGGGAAAUGUUUCAUUUUCUAAUGAGCACAGGGAAGAAAUUUAGAUCAUGCCCACAGUUUACCUGUCUCCGCACAAGAGGUGACUUUCAUUUAGAGAGGGAACAUAGAUCGACAGUGGGAGGAAACCUGAGAUGAGCCCCCUGACAGGUCCAGAAACCCCCCAUGCUGGCAGGAUCCUAUGGCCUCCACUGUGGGUCUCAUGUCUCCGGCAGGUGUUCUAAAUUUAUAACGUUCAAUGUCAUGGCAGGCCAGGGUGCUUUCUCUGCCCUAGUUUGACCCUUUAUCACACAUUCACACCACACACACACACAAAUGCACACAGUCACACAUAGUCACAUGGCAACCUCCUGGCAACCCAAGGUAAACACACACUAACAUACCUGCUCUCUCCUUCAUUGUCAUUCUGCGAUUCUGUCCAGGAAUCACUAAGGCUUCUUUGGCGCCAGUAACCAUACAUGGUAAAGGUUCUCUAGACUCACUUGUAUCAGAAAAUUUCAAUCUUCAUCUUAUUUUCUUAUAAAUCUAUACAGUCUAUGACUUGAUCUUUUACUUUUCCUGAAGAAGAUGAUCAGCUCGGCACAUCCAGAACAUGGAAUAGUGUGCCCUGGCCUGGGACAGGUUGAAUGACGCUAUGGUAGAAUGAAAUCUUGGGCAAAUCCCAAAAGUUUUAUAAUAGAGAGAGCUGUGGGAUUUAUCAAAAUGGAUGAACACGAUUGGCUAGUGCUGCUGAUUAAGUAGUAGGACCUGCAUGGGAGUGCUUUUAUCAAAACUCAAGUGAUAUGGGUGUGCCCCUGUUAGAAUUAGCCUAAUCUAAUCAAAAUCAG
rnacentral:lncRNA from 1 species